UACGUAGGGCGCAAGCGUUGUCCGGAAUUAUUGGGCGUAAAGAGCUCGUAGGCGGCUUGUCACGUCGGAUGUGAAAGCCCGAGGCUUAACCUCGGGUCUGCAUUCGAUACGGGCUAGCUAGAGUGUGGUAGGGGAGAUCGGAAUUCCUGGUGUAGCGGUGAAAUGCGCAGAUAUCGGGAGGAACACCAAUGGCGAAGGCGGCUCUCUGGGACGGUACUGACGCUGAGACGCGAAAGCGUGGGGAGCGAACAGG
rnacentral:rRNA from 1 species